UACGGAGGGUGCAAGCGUUGUCCGGAUUUAUUGGGUUUAAAGGGUGCGUAGGCGGAUCUUUAAGUCAGUGGUGAAAUCCUGCAGCUUAACUGUAGAACUGCCAUUGAUACUGGAGAUCUUGAGUAUACUAGAGGUAGGCGGAAUUUAUGGUGUAGCGGUGAAAUGCAUAGAUACCAUAAAGAACACCAAUAGCGUAGGCA
rnacentral:rRNA from 1 species